rnacentral:rRNA from 1 species
UACGUAGGGGGCAAGCGUUGUCCGGAUUUACUGGGCGUAAAGCGCCUGUAGGCGGCCUGUCAAGUCCGGCCUGAAAGCCCCCGCUCAACGGGGGAGGGUGGCUGGAAACUGGCAGGCUUGAGGGCGAGAGAGGAGGGUGGAAUUCCCGGUGUAGUGGUGGAAUGCGUAGAUAUCGGGAAGAACACCAGUGGCGAAAGCGGCGUCUCUGGGGACCAUCUGACGCUGAGGCGCGAAAGCGUGGGGAGCGAACCGG